UACGUAGGGACCAAGCGUUGUUCGGAUUUACUGGGCGUAAAGGGCGCGUAGGCGGCGUGACAAGUCACUUGUGAAAUCUCUGGGCUUAACCCAGAACGGCCAAGUGAAACUGUUGUGCUAGAGUGCAGAAGGGGCAAUCGGAAUUCUCGGUGUAGCGGUGAAAUGCGUAGAUAUCGAGAGGAACACCAGAGGUGAAGACGGGUUGCUGGGCCGACACUGACGCUGAGGCGCGAAAGCUAGGGGAGCGAACGGG
rnacentral:rRNA from 1 species